UGGGGAUUGGUGUAAUCGGUAGCACGACGGAUUCUGAUUCCGUUAGUCGGGGUUCAAGUCCCUGAUCCCCAGC
rnacentral:tRNA from 5 species